rnacentral:piRNA from 1 species
UGCAUGGGCCCAAUCCCACCCCAGC